CAGUCUCUCAACCUCUCUCUCUCUCGCUGGUUCUUUCUUUCCUGUGAAAUUUGAAGAAAUGUCAUUGUGGUGGAGACUUCCGGAAGAGACUCAGCUAAUUCUGAAGAUUCAAGUUUUCCAUGUUGAUUCAUAAAUCAUAAGAUGGUUUUCUUUCUCGGGCACACGUUAGACAUGAUGAAUAAAUGUACUUUUGUUUAUUCAUCCAAGUUCAUUGUAUGCUCGUGGUAUUGCUGCAUUAGAUGCUGAGGACGAGGCGAGCAGUAAACCCCCUAAAGGAGGAAUUACCGAAGAUUUUAGUGGAGGAAAUAAGUGACCUGAAUGAUGAGACCGAACCGAAGGUGAUCGAUAAAGAUGAUGGUUUUAGAGUGGAGGAAGUUAAAGUUGGUAGUGCCGAACAGACUGGAAAUCCCUGAAAUAGGAACUACUGAAGAUUGUAGAGGAGGAUAAGGGUAAGCAGAAUGUUGAAACAAAGCUAAGGUGAUUGGCGAAAAUAAUGGCUUGAGAGUGGAUAAGGUUAAAGUUGAUAGAAGCAAAGAGACUGAAUUAGUUGAUCGCCGUGGGAAAGAGUUUUAAGGCUAAGCAGGAGGCCAGCAGAAACCCCCGACAAGAGUCACCACCAAAGAAGAAGAAGUCAGAGAAUAGAAAUGGUAAUCAGAAUGAUCAGACCAGGGAAGGAUUCAGAGUAAAUAACCUGUUUGGUGGUUUGAGAGAGUUUACCAAGUGCUCUUGAGUACUGCAUUUCAUUUCUUGAUAGGAGUCAGGUUUUUUCAUGUGAUUGAUUUGUUGAGAACAGCAAAAUUAAGCACUUUUGUCGACUGUCCACUCUUGUUAAAGAUAAAAUAGAAAUUCUUCUGGUAACUCCCUGCUUCAGGUCUUCUUUCUCAUCAUACUAGUUCUUGCUCUAUCAUGUCGUGAAAUUCGCAGGGGCCAAACAAUAUGGGCAGGAUAUUGGAGGA